rnacentral:misc_RNA from 1 species
ACACACACACACACACACACACACAGACAGAUGAACAUAUAGAGAGAGCUGUUCUAUCAUCACACACACACACACACACAUUCUAGCACGAGUAUAUCAUGAGUGGAUAUCGGAUGAUGAUAACAGAAGCGUAUGCCUCGCCAGCUGGCAGGAUGAACAUUAAAAGGAUGUUUUGAUAUUCGCCCAUGUCAUCCUUUGUCUCGCGUCUUCCCGUCUUUUACCAGUGCCAGUGGUGCUGGAUCGUCUUUUCACGUCACACUCAGGUCUCUUCCUACGACACCGCCGAGAUCUUGAGAGGCUUUCUCAGGAGAGUUCUUCACCAUGGCCCUGAAACUAAUAUUCUUGCUCCUGAUGGUAUGUUCCUGCAUCAUGUGUUUUCUUACUGGUCCCAUAUCGCGAUCAGGGGAAUGUCUUCAGUCCGUGCCCGGCAUCGAGUGUCAGUGUAAAGCAGUGAACCAAACCAUUCAUGUGCACUGCUUCUGCCUCCCAGUGAAGACGGUGGAUCUCAGGAACCUCAGUCAAGAAUAUGAAGUCAUACAAGCCAGUGUCUUUACGCUUCAGAAUUGUAGAAGCACCUCGGUUCUUGUGUUUCCAGGAACUUUCAGUGACCUCAAUUCCUUAGAAUACAUUAGUUUUUACAAUGUUGGCCGCCUCACCCUGGAACAUAACUGCAUCAACCUUCGGUCGAUAAGUGAGAAUGUGAUUCUGAAUUUCUCGUUAAUAACAAACUUAAGCAUACGCAAAAAUGCCAUUAACAUCCAGCCCCGCAACAAAUGCAUGGAUUCAAAAGCAAGCAUCAACAUCAAACAUUCCACUCUUCUUAGUUUAAUGAAAUCUGCCAUUGUCACAAACCUGAAGGAACUGACCAUGGAGGAAAUGAUACUGAAGGCAAGGCCGUGGCCAGAGGCCAUUGUGGUACUGGGCUCUGCUGGCGCUUCAGUGUCACUGAAAUCUGUCUCCAUAAAAAAAGGACUUACUGGCAGAUGGAUCACAGGAAAUAUCUCCCGCCUCAGCAUCACUGAAAGUAAUCUAAGACUGCUGCCAGAGGCUUUUGCAGGAGUGACCAUUGUGGAAGAUCAGGAGUCAAAUACAGGCAUUACUCUCUUUGGGAAUAACUUCAUGAUACCAUCCCUGCCCUCACAAGCCCUACCCUCAGAUGCACCGGUCCUGCAAGCACAAAAAAAUCGCAUUGUCUGCCAAUGCCAGAACCUUGCUUGGCUGCUGGAGCCUCCCAACACGCCACUGAAGAACAGUGUCAAGGAUUCCCUGAUUUGCAGAAACAAGUCUCUUGAUUUACUUUUGCCAUCUUGUGAGACACAUUUUCCCUCCACUGUUUAGGACUCUUUGUUAAACAAAAGGAAACUAUACCCCAACAGAUGACACCUAUCCACCUUGCUAGAAAUUAUUCAAGUAAAGAUACUUUUUAAUUUCAGACAUUUAUUAAGUGGUCUAGAAUACAUAUCAAUAUUUUGGUUCAGGCAUUCAUUAACAUAAAACUGGCAGUGAUUUACACAAACUUAAUAUUAUUAGUUGACAAACACUCCAUGCGCACUGAACACAAAACUAUAAGUGAAUGUGUGUGUGUGUGUGUGUGUGUGUGUGUGUGUGUGUGUGUGUGUGUGUUUGUGUGUGUGUGUGUGUGUGUGUUUACCAGGUUA